UCAUCAUGAAAGUCAUCAGCGUGAGUCAACAAGUAGGUGCUGCACCGUCCAGCUGAGUCGGCGAUCUCCUUUUAUGGCAGGAUGAGAUGCCGUGCCUUGUUGCCAAUGCCGAUGCCAUCACGUCCGCUUUUCAAUGCCUUGGCGGGCUGAGUUGUGACAACUAUUUUGAGUUUAUGAUACAACAAGAUCCACGAGGGAUGCCGUGAGACCUGUCCGAAACAAAUCAGCAUUCAUUGCGGAAGAGACUGCCACUCAAGCAUCGCUGUAUGGCCCACUCAUGUUUCAUAUUGGCACCAACACUCUCACUCUGGCACCGGAUUCCACACGCUCUUCCCUGCCAACUCUUCCACUGCCUUCCACACCACCUGUAACAUGUGCUCACUCCUAACGAGGCUGACUGCAUUUUCCAAGACCGCAUGCUUCACAAACUGUCAUGUACAGUAUCUCCGUUCCCUGCUGGUUUAGAGAUUUACAGACCAUCCUAUAUCCAUAUUGUCUCAGAGUUUUAUGUGGGACUCAGAGAAAAAGCCACAUUUUACUGCAAAAGCGUGCAGUAAAAAUGUGGAUCCAGUCUAUUAACUAUUAUUGUGCAAGCAGCGAUUGUUUUUAAAUCAAAUAGAGUUGCAGAAAAAAAAAUGUUCAACCAAUGAUAUUUAUUCAUUUGUUUUUCACAGAAAAGACUUAAGGAAAAGUGUGUCUUCUCGAGUCCAGCCAGUUGUUAUAACUUAAAGUAGCAAACACACCAUAAUAGUUGGCUAAAUUAAUAAUGUAUUGGCUGUCAUUGGAUAUUUUCUGCUUGCAUUAGUACAGCUACAGGUGGGGGUGGUAGGUGCUUCUUUGAUGCAUAAAACUCUCACCAGACAUAAUUUCGAUGAACCUGUAAAAUAAUAAAUCCAUGUUUUUUACUUUGUCUUUUUUUUGUGUGUGAUUUUUUUUUAUAUUUAUGUUGACAUACUGCAUAAAUCUUUGUCGCGGGCCACAUUGUUGGGAGUGAGAGGCCGGUAUGACUGUGAAACCACCACCUCAUCAUAUUAUUACAC